AGGGGGCUUGAACUCAAGAUCUGUGAGAUCAUGACCUGAGUGAAGUUGGUUCCCCAACCGACUGAGCCACUCAGGCGCCCUGGUGAUUAAGCAAAUUUAAAGUAUCCUCCUUCCCUUGCUCCAAAAUGUAGCCCAGCCUUUUCUAGUUACACUUCUGCUUUCAGGUUUACUCUUAUCAUUGGCACAGCGUAUUACCCAGCACUGUAACAAGCUAACUUGUUCAUUAUUAUUUUUAUACGUUUCUGUUUAUUUAGUAAUCUCUACACCCAGCAUGGGGCUCGAACUCAAGACCCCGAGAUCAAGAGUCGUGCACUCUUCCCACUGAGCCAUCCGGGCACCCCCAGGCCGCAUUCAUCAAUCAAUUUGUCUGCCAUAUCCUAUCUCAGAUGAAUAUAAUGAGCUUUAUGUUAUCCUUAUUGAUGCCAGUAAUUUGCAUUAAAUCAAGAAUCAUUUAAAUCUUCUUCCAAUGACUGACGUGUCAUCAGCCUUUGUCAAGAGCAGCUGCAUCAGGUGAGAACGUGGGUCGCCUGAGGAGACACAGCUAAAGUGUCAAGGCUGGGAUGAAAUCCCUGUCCCUUGAUGCUACAUUAAUACAGGAUACACAAUUUAGAGGCAUGUUUUAAAUGUAAAAUUAACAAUAAUUUGUUAUAAUGACCACUAAUAUUUAAAUGUUCUCAGCCAUUACUUAAGCUAAGCUAGGAGCUAUCCCUAGAGUUGAUCGGAGUCCCCGAAAAACUUUUAACGUGGAAAUCACCAUGCUAUGGGAGAAAUAUGUACAACCCUUUGAAGGUUUUCAGGUUCUUGUAGGCACUUCUUUUUGUUGUUGUUUUCUUUUUAAUAAACCACUUUAUUGAUGUAUGACUGACAUACAAAAUGCCGUAUGUAUUUAAUGUAUACAAUUUGAUGAUUUGGGAUAUAAGUGUAUACCUAUGAAACCAUCAACACAAUCUAUGGUAUAAUAAACAUAUCCAUCACCUCCAAAA